rnacentral:rRNA from 1 species
AGAGUUGAUCCCUGCNUCAGGAUAAACGCNGGCGGCGUGCNUAAAUACAUNNCANGCCGAGCGAACUGAUUAGAAGCUUGGCUUCUAUGACGUUUAAGCGGGCGGNCCGGGUGGAGUAACCACCGUGGGCCANCCCUNCCCUGUAAAGACUGGGAUAACUUCGGGAAACNGAAGCUAAUACCGGAUAGAUCUUCUCCUUCAUGGGAGAUGAUUGAAAGAUGUUUCGGCUAUCACUUACAGAUGGGCCCGCGGUGCAUUAGCUAGUUGGUGAGGUAACGGCUCACCAAGGCAACGAUGCAUAGCCGACCUGAGAGGGUGAUCGGCCACACUGGGACUGAGACACGGCCCAGACUCCUACGGGAGGCAGCAGUAGGGAAUCUUCCGCAAUGGACGAAAGUCUGACGGAGCAACGCCGCGUGAGUGAUGAAGGCUUUCGGGUCGUAAAACUUCUGUUGUUAGGGAAGAACAAGUGAAAGAGAACUGCUUUCCCUUGACGAGNGAACCAGAAGCACGCACAC